UAUGAGUCGACUCCUAGGAGUCACAGGCAGAAAAGUCAGAGAGCAGUUUUCGGGUCUGAGAUUCGAGUCGACUCCAGUGGAACGCGAGUCGACUCCGAUGGUUGGUAGGUCGACUCCAAAGAAAGCAAGAGUCGACUCUCAGCGGAACACAAGGAACAAGCCAGAGAGCAUUUUUGGGACUCUGAGAUUCGAGUCGACUCCCGCAUUGCACGAGUCGACUCCGAGACUCCGCGACCAUCAACAGACAGAAAACCAAGUUACUGCCUCUGAGAUUCGAGUCGACUCCCAGACAGCUCGAGCCGACUCUAAGGCAGCGCUACACCAAGAUGACAGAAGGCUGAGUUUCGGAAACUGAGAGCCGAGUUGACUCCGGGGAAGUUCGAGUCGACUCCAAG
rnacentral:lncRNA from 1 species